UAAAUGAGACUUUGGUUUAGUUUGUGAUUCAUCUGUUUCUAUUUCUGAAGCCUGACAUCAUUUGAUUGUUUUCUGUUUUAUUAUAAAUACUGUUUGGAGUUCUGGGUGAGCAGUGUCUUCUUAUCAUCCCCACAUGGGGCGAGUGGAGCCCAGCCUCUGGGUGCUGCCCCCCUCCAGAGAGGAGCUGGCCCAGGGGAAGGCCACCCUCGUGUGCCUGGCCAACAAGGGCUUCCCGUCAGACUGGAGCGUGUCCUGGAAGGUGUCCGGUGGCGGUGCGGGCGGGGAGCAGAGCCGGAGCCCCGCGGUGCCGCAAAAGGACGGCCACUACAGCUGGAGCAGCAGCCUGACGCUCCCCGCACAGCAGUGGAGGGAGGGGGGCGUGGCUGUGAGCUGUGAGGCCAGCCAGGGCUCCCAGAGUCCAGUGUCCCACACACUGAGCACACUGCAGUGUUCCCACCACUGACACAGUCACUGGGAUCAGCCUGCAGAGCGCCCUCUGCUGUCAGCUCACGCCUCUACAGCUACAGCUCCACUUCACUUACUGCAGCACAGCACACAGGCCUCUGUCCCAACUGGAGCUUCUGCUCCAAAUAAAGAGCUGUGCAUCAAAAGCA